GAAUUCAUUUAGGGAAUUGUUAAUUUAGGGAAUUCAUUUAGGAAUUGUUAAUUUAGGGAAUUCAUUUAGGAAUCGUUAAUUUAGGGAAUUCAUUUAGGGAAUUGUUAAUUUAGGGAAUUCAUUUGGGGAAUUGUUAAUUUAGGGAAUUCAUUUAGGGAAUUGUUAAUUUAGGGAAUUAAUUUAGGGAAUUAAUGAAUUACCAGGGAAUGAACUGCCCCCAGCUGUCCCUGGAGUUAUUCCCAAGGGUGGGAUCCCAUCCAAAUCCAAGGAUUUCCCCUCGCAGUCCCUCUGCAGCCAGCAGGGAAAGGGUCCUGGAUCAUCCAGAAGGGGAUGGGAUAAAAACGGGAAAAUUGGGAUCAGGGGGGCCUCUGCAGGGAAAAAUGGGAAAAACGGGAUCAGAAAUGGGAUCAGAGGGGUCUGUGCAGGGAAAAAUGGGGAAAAUUGGGAAAAACGGGAUCAGAAAUGGGAUCAGAGGGGUCUGUGCAGGGAAAAAUGGGAUGAGGAAUGGGAAAAAUGGGAUCAGAGGGGUCUGUGCAGGAAGAAUGGGAUCAGGAACGGGAUCAGGAACAGGAUCAGGAAUGGGAUCAGGAACGGGAUCAGGAAUGGGAUCAGGAACGGGAUCAGGAAUGAGAUCAGGAAUGGGAUCAGGAAUGGGAUCAGGAAUGGGAUCAGGAACGGGAUCAGGAAUGAGAUCAGGAAUGGGAUCAGGAAUGAGAUCAGGAAUGGGAUCAGGAGCGGGAUCAGGAAUGGGAUCAGGAAUGAGAUCAGGAGCGGGAUCAGGAAUGGGAUCAGGAAUGGGAUCAGGAGCGGGAUCAGGAAUGGGAUCAGGAACAGGAUCAGGAACAGGAUCAGGAACGGGAUCAGGAACAGGAUCAGGAACGGGCUCAGGAACGGGAUCAGGAAUGAGAUCAGGAAUGGGAUCAGGAAUGGGAUCAGGAAUGGGAUCAGGAAUGGGAUCAGGAACGGGAUCAGGAACAGGAUCAGGAACAGGAUCAGGAACGGGAUCAGGAAUGGGAUCAGGAAUGGGAUCAGGAAUGGGAUCAGGAAUGGGAUCAGGAAUGGGAUCAGGAAUGAGCUCAGGAAUGGGAUCAGGAACAGGAUCAGGAACAGGCUCAGGAAUGGGAUCAGGAAUGGGAUCAGGAAUGGGAUCAGGAACAGGAUCAGGAAUGGGAUCAGGAAUGGGAUCAGGAAUGGGAUCAGGAAUGGGAAUCGGGAACAGGCUCAGGAACAGGUUCAGGAACAGGAUCAGGAACAGGCUCAGGAAUGGGCUCAGGAAUGGGCUCAGGAACGGGAUCAGGAACAGGCUCAGGAAUGGGAUCAGGAACAGGCUCAGGAACGGGCUCAGGAAUGGGCUCAGGAACGGGCUCAGGAACGGGGAUCAGGAACGGGCUCAGGAAUGGGAUCAGGAACGGGCUCAGGAACGGGAUCAGGAAUGGGAUCAGGAAUGGGAUCAGGAAUGAGAUCAGGAAUGGGCUCAGGAACGGGCUCAGGAACAGGCUCAGGAACAGGAUCAGGAACAGGCUCAGGAAUGGGAUCAGGAACGGGCUCAGGAACGGGAUCAGGAAUGGGAUCAGGAGUGGGAAUCAGGAACAGGCUCAGGAACAGGAUCAGGAACAGGCUCAGGAACAGGAUCAGGAAUGGGAUCAGGAGUGGGAAUCAGGAACAGGCUCAGGAACAGGAUCAGGAACAGGCUCAGGAACAGGCUCAGGAACAGGACCAGGAACAGGAUCAGGAACAGGAUCAGGAGUGGGAAUCAGGCACGGGCUCAGGAACGGGCUCAGGAACAGGCUCGGGAACGGGCUCAGGAACAGGAUCAGGAACGGGCUCAGGAACAGGAUCAGGAACGGGCUCAGGCACGGGAGCGAGGGCUC
rnacentral:lncRNA from 1 species